UGAACGCUGGCGGCAGGCCUAACACAUGCAAGUCGAACGGCAGCACAAGAGAGCUUGCUCUCUGGGUGGCGAGUGGCGGACGGGUGAGGAAUGCAUCGGAAUCUGCCCAUUUGUGGGGGAUAACCUCGGGAAACCGGGACUAAUACCGCAUACGACCUACGGUUGAAAGCAGGGGAUCUUCGGACCUUGCGCAGAUGGAUGAGCCGAUGCCGGAUUAGCUAGUUGGAGGGGUAAAGGCCCACCAAGGCGACGAUCCGUAGCUGGUCUGAGAGGAUGAUCAGCCACACUGGGACUGAGACACGGCCCAGACUCCUACGGGAGGCAGCAGUGGGGAAUAUUGGACAAUGGGCGCAAGCCUGAUCCAGCCAUGCCGCGUGUGUGAAGAAGGCCUUCGGGUUGUAAAGCACUUUUGUUGGGAAAGAAAAGCAGCCGGUUAAUACCCGGUUGUCAUGACGGUACCCAAAGAAUAAGCACCGGCUAACUUCGUG
rnacentral:rRNA from 1 species